UGGGAACCUUCCCAGUGGUACGGAAUAGCUCAGGGAAACUUGAGGUAAUACCGUAUACGCCCCUUGGGGGAAAGAUUUAUCGCCAUUGGAUGGGCCCGCGUAGGAUUAGCUAGUUGGUGGGGUCAUGGCUCACCAAGGCGACGACGGGUAGCUGGUCUGAGAGGACGAUCAGCCACACUGGAACUGAGAUACGGUCCAGACUCCUACGGGAGGCAG
rnacentral:rRNA from 1 species